rnacentral:rRNA from 1 species
AUGAACGGCGGCGGGGGAGACGAGAGCGGCAGCGACCAUGAGGGCAGCGGCACGCGGAAGCCGCUGCUGCUCAAGAACACGGGCAGCUGGUACAGGAUGGUGGGGUCGUCGUCGCGGCAGAUAGUCGGCGCCUCGUCCAUGGCCGUGCUGCGCGAGUCCCACGUCUCGGCGCUCCUCUGCACGCUCAUCGUCGCGCUCGGCCCCAUCCAGUUCGGCUUCACCUGCGGCUUCUCCUCCCCCACCCAGGACGCCAUGAUCCGCGACCUCGGCCUCUCCAUCUCCCAGUUCUCGGCGUUCGGCUCGCUGUCCAACGUCGGCGCCAUGGUGGGGGCCAUCGCCAGCGGGCAGAUGGCCGAGCACAUUGGCCGGAAAGGGUCGUUGAUGAUCGCAGCGAUUCCGAAUAUCAUCGGUUGGCUCGCCAUCUCCUUUGCCAAUGACUCGUCGUUUCUCUAUAUGGGACGGUUGCUCGAAGGAUUUGGUGUUGGCGUCAUAUCAUAUACGGUGCCUGUAUACAUAGCAGAGAUAUCUCCUCAGAGCACAAGAGGAGCCCUUGGCUCUGUGAACCAGUUGUCUAUCACCCUUGGUAUCUUCUUGGCCUAUGUGCUAGGCAUGUUUGUUCCUUGGAGGUUGCUGGCAGUACUAGGGACCUUGCCUUGUACAUUGUUGAUUCCUGGUCUAUUCUUCAUCCCGGAGUCUCCAAGAUGGCUGGCAAAGAUGAACUUGACGGAUGAUUUCGAGACUUCUCUGCAAGUUUUGAGGGGUUUCGAGACCGACAUAACAGCGGAAGUGAAUGAUAUAAAGAGAGCUGUAGCAUCUGCAAACAAAAAGGCUACGGUCCGUUUUCAGGAGCUGAAUCAAAAGAAGUACCGAACUCCCUUACUAAUAGGAACUGGCCUGCUAGUACUUCAAAAUUUAUGUGGGAUAAAUGGCAUACUGUUUUACGCAAGUAGAAUCUUCAGAGCUGCAGGGUUCACAAACAGUGACCUGGCCACAUGUGCACUUGGAGCUAUUCAGGUUCUCGCCACCGGAGUUACAACCUCGCUACUAGAUAAAGCUGGCCGACGGAUGCUCCUUAUUAUCUCUACUGCUGGGACAACUCUAAGCCUUCUUGCAGUUUCUGUUGCAUUUUUCCUCAAGGACAAUCUACCACAUGAUUCUCACUCGGACUACACCUUAAGCAUGGUGUCCUUGGUGGCUCUUGUGGCUUAUAUCAUCACCUUCUCCUUUGGCAUGGGUGCCAUUCCAUGGCUCAUAAUGUCCGAGAUCCUCCCAGUGGGCAUCAAGAGCUUCGCAGGGAGCUUCGCGACGCUGGCCAACAUGCUCACUUCCUUCGGUGUGACAAUGACGGCGAACCUGCUACUGAGCUGGAGCGCUGGCGGGACUUUCGCGUCGUACAUGGUCGUGAGCGCGUUCGCCCUCGUGUUCGUUAUACUUUGGGUGCCGGAGACCAAGGGGAGGACCCUGGAAGAGAUACAGUGGUCGUUCCGGUGA